rnacentral:lncRNA from 1 species
AAAAGUUUAGCUUGAGCAAAAGAAAAGUUGUGGAGAUUAUGAAGAAAGGAGUAAAGAGGGGGAAGCAAUUAAAAACUUUCGGAAGAACAAUUUUUCACUUAAGGUAUGAUUAUUCAUUUAAUCUCUUAGAUUUUAUGAGUUAUUUAUUUUAAAUAUUACAUAAAGGACCCAAUUAAGCUUACAUUGAUGAGGUGGUUCCAAAUCUUUAAAUUUUACUACUGUAUCAUUUUUGGAAGUUGCUUGUUUUAAUAAGAGAAAUGCAAGAUUUUAAGUACGUAUACAUAUAUGAUAUAUACACAUGAAAAUUGGGGAUUUUGUUAACGUAAGUAUAAAAUUAGGGCUUUUAAUCAAAAUUAGGGUUCUUAGUUAAAAUUGGGGCUUUUGUGUUUUGGGUAUGGAAUGUAUGACUGAAAUGUUGGCUAUGGGUUUGGACUGGUCGGAGGGGCCAACCACCGCUUCGGCACCCCCAACCGCCGCGGCACCGACGUCGGCGAAGACGUCACUGUCGCGCAGCGGUGGUGGCGAGCGGCUGCAGCAAUGGAGGAGAAGGCAGGGGGAGGGAAACCGGCUGAUUUGCAGGGGGAAGAGGUGAACAGCGGUGUGUGGGUGUCCUGUGCGUGUGUAUGGUGCGAGUGUUUGUGCGUUUGGUGUGUGUGUGCGUGUGUCGGGGAGACGAGAGAGAGAGUGUAGCAGCGAGGGAGAGAGACUUGGAAGGAUUGAGGAAUCGCGGCAUCAAGCCGCCGGAGAUUUCUCCGGCCGGCGGUGGCAGUGGUUAGUGUGGGAGAGAAGAGAGAUGAGGGAGAUGAAGGAGGGGCAGUUUGGUAAUUUGCUUAUAAAUGGUUCUGAUAAUUAGUCUGCUGGGCAAGAAGUUGUUGACGGAUUGUAAAAUAAAUUACAUAUUUGGAUUCUUUACGAAAAAAUAGAUGGAAUAGACUUUAAAAUCAUCGAAAACGGAUUAGAAAUGAAAGAGAUAUUAACGGUCAAAGUUUCACCAUUUGAGUUGACUUCGAAGUGAAAGAAAGUGGUAGUGGGUGUGUUGGAGAAGAUGAUGAUGUGUCAGUUUUUGAUUGGUUAGAAUAUUGAAAAAUAGUUUUUAGUUAGUUGAGGGCUUAAAUGAUGAAAUUAGUAAAAGUGUAAAACAUGAAGGUUUAAGUAAAUAAUUUUUCGGAUUUAAUGAUGGAGUCAAAUUUUGGGUUCGAGAGAUAUUAAAUAAAUUAUAUUUUGUGUGAUUUAAUAAAUAAUUAAUAAAAUUGAUGGAUAUAUUAGUUAAGUGGGCAAUUUGGUAGAAGUGAGACUUUGGGAAAUUGAUAUAAUGGAACAGAUUAGAGAUAUUUGUGUGAAUUAGUGUCGGCGAACAAAUAAAUUAUAAGUAGAGAUUUAUAAUAUUAGAUUUAAAGAAAGAUUGGAUUAACAAAUGAUUCAAGUGGACUUCUUAAAAAGAAGAUAAUUAUUUAAAUAAUAUCUAUUAUUCGAAGAUUUAAGGGAUAAUAGAAAAACAAUCUAAAUAUUAUCAAAAAGGGAAAUUACAUAUUAUGAAUGUAUAGUGGAUUAUUCGAGAUUAUUUAAAGUGAAGAUUACUAAAUUCACUAUUUUGUGUGAUAUAGAAUAUUUACUAUCUGGAAAGGCGAGCUCAAUUUGAGACAAGAAUAUUUUGUGUUAUUAUCAAAGGACGCCAGGCAAGUUCACUUAAUCCUUCCUUUGAUGUGCCCAUGAUGUGCAAAUAUUUGUUGAACGUGAUUUCAUUUGAUAUUUAUAUCUGUGUUUGAAUCCCGAUAUUUUGACAUGUAUUUGAAUAUUCGAGAAGAUCCGGAAGAGACGGAUACUAGAAGAUUUGACAUUUGUUCAGAAUAUUAUUCAAACAGUUUUCUACAUUACUGAGUCCACCUAUUGUUCAGGAUGACUCAUUAUUUUGUAAAAUCACAAAUAUCAUCAAUUUUCAAAUCUUUAACCUAUCACUCCUUUUUGAGAUGAUUACCCUAUUUUGUAAUCUUUAUUUCGUUACAGAAAUUCAUAUUCGAUAUUUAAUUCUAACUUUACUCAUAUUCGAGAAGUCUUGUUCAUAUCUUUGAGUUAUUAUAUCAAUGCAAGAAUAACUCAGUUGAAUUUUCUUUAAACCUUGAUUAUUCGCUAAUAUCGACAUUUUAAGUAUUGAGACCCCGAACUUUGAUUCGUCUUUCUUACGAAGUUUUAUGAUUCUGAUGUUUUCUUCAGAUAACUGAUUAUUCUUUCUAUAUACUUUAAAGGGGAUAAUUUGCUUGAUUAUUGAGUUCCCCUCCUAAUUUCUUAUUCUCGUUCAAUCUGUUAAACUUCUAUUCUUUUAUUCGAAUUAUAAUUAAUCGAUUUUAUACAAGGAUCAUUAACCAUGUUCGGUUGUAUGUUAUUGUUCUUGGGAUGUUGUGAUCGGAUUACUGUUUCUUCGUAAUCCGGCCGAGAGGUAUUUAAUUCUGAAUUGUGAGGAUGCAUUGUUCGCAUUCUUGUGAGAAAGGGGAAGAUUUAUUCAACAUGAAGUGAGCCAAUUUGUACUCGGGGAAUGAAUUUCAUAAACUGGUCAACACGAAUGAUUUGCAUUCGUGGAAGAGUGGAAAUAUCUGUUGGCCCUAUGUGUGGGACAACUUUAAGGGUUGAAAGUGAUAACCCUUAUGCUAGCAAAUAAAUGGGGGAAAAUUGUGUGGCGCCAUUCGGAAGUCGCGAUCAGACUACGAAGGUGACACGGGGUGGUAUCUACUUAGUGGCGGUGAUCGAGCCAUUUGGUGGAACCAUCAAGGAUGGAGACCAGUAUUAUUAUUAAUCUUUGAUUUCUUGAGUUCAUUGUGUGAUUAUAUGCAGCUCUCAUUUUGAAUCUGCUUAAUUGUUAUAUCUGCUUAAAUUCCUUUACCUAAUCUGUGAUGUUUGCACUUGAACUGUGAACUUGCUGAGCAUUAAAUUGCUCAUACUUGCAACUCUUUAUUUCCUUGAACAGUAAAGACAGAAAAUGGCACAAAUGAGAAGGGUAAUUCGGAAGCAUAUAAUAGCAAAAUCAUUGGCAAAGCGUGAGGCUGUGGCACGAAGGGUGCGAAGACUUGUUCCCGUAACGAGAAUGUUAAUGAUUAUAAUAAUGGUAGAUUGUACUCUUGAACUUAUCAUUGUAAUGUUAGAAUAGACUGCGUGGAAGUGUAAGAUCGACCCUGGACUUGUGGGGUGAGCUAUGUAUUGGAAGUCAGGUAUGCUAUAAUAAUGUGACGGCCUAGAUCCGGGAUAUACGGAUCUGGGGGCGUUACAGAUUUGGUAUCAGAGCUAUAGUUAUAUUCUUAGGACACGGGAACCCUAGGAAUAUAACGAGAGAGUAAGAGACGAUAAUACGAGAUAUAAGAUAUGGGUAUAUGAUAGUUAUACAUCUACGAGUUUAUG